rnacentral:rRNA from 1 species
GACGAACGCUGGCGGCGUGCCUAAUACAUGCAAGUAGGACGCAGUUGCGAACGGGUGAGUAACGCGUAGGUAACUACCUAUUAGAGGGGGAUAACUAUUGGAAAAGAUAGCUAAUACCGCAUACUAGUAGAUGGACCUGCGUUGUAUUAGCUAGUAGGUAGGGUAAAGGCCUACCUAGGCAAAGAGACAUAGCCGACCCGGGAGGUUGAUCGGCCACAAGGGGACUGAGACACGGCCCAGACGCCUACGGGAGGCAGCAGUAGGGAAACGUCGGCAAUGGGGGGAACCCUGGCCGAGCAACGCCGCGUUAGUGAAGAAGGUUUUCGGAUCGUAAAGCUCUGUUGUUAAGGAAGCGGUACUUAACCAGAAAGGGACGGCUAACUACGUGCCAGCCGCCGCGGUAAUAC